AGCCAGUCUAAGUACACAGCAAAAACAAGAGAGACAGACCCUGACUCAAGGGAGUGGGGGUGGAGAAAUGAUUCAGGGUAAUCUAGUUUCAAAGAUACAAUGGAUGUGCAAAUUUAACGAAUGAGAGUCUUGGCAUACUGCACGUUUGAUAAAGCCAAUUUACUGAAUUGAUUGUUAGUAGUUGGCUCCUGGAUUGGUAGCCAGUGCAGUACCCAGGUAAGCUGUAUCCAUUUCUCAGUGCCAACUGAAAUGAUUAGUUCAAUACGACAGUUGCCAGGAGCAAUAGAAAUGAGCAUUGCAGACAGUGCACAACAGCUCACAGUGUGCUCACAGCUGGCAGUAGAGAGAAUGAGGCAUUGUCCAGUGGAACCAAAGCAACCCUGAGCAGCUGUUUAUGGCAUUACCCAGACAGAGGGGAAGAGAAGACUCUCAGGGAACCACCAGGAAAUAGAAUGGCAUCCACAGUAACUUUCAUUUGUUAAUAUGCCAUCAAUAUUCUGUGAUGAGCAUUUUAUAGGGAUCUACUUCCUAGUCUUCAAAACAACCCUUGACUUAGGAACCCUUGGCACCAUUCUGGUUUUGUAGAAAUGAAACUGAGCCACAAGAGUAAAGGCACGUAAUAAGAGCCAUAUAAUCCCAGUGAUGAAACG
rnacentral:lncRNA from 1 species